GGGGGAUUAGCUCAGCUGGCUAGAGCGAUUGCUCCGCAAGCAAUAGGUCAUCGGUUCGACUCCGAUAUUCUCCACAA
rnacentral:tRNA from 1 species